rnacentral:rRNA from 1 species
GAUGAACGCUGGCGGCGUGCCUAAUACAUGCAAGUCGAGCGAACAGACGAGGAGCUUGCUCCUCUCACGUUAGCGGCGGACGGGUGAGUAACACGUGGAUCACCUCCCUAUAAGACUGGUAUAACUUCGGGACACCGGAUCUAAUACCGGAUAAUCUAUUGCACCGCAUGGUUCAUUAGUGAAUGACGGUUUUUCUGUCUCUUCUCGCUGGAUCCGCGCCGCAUUAGCUAGUUGGUACGGUACCGGCUUACCAAGGCAAGGAUGCGUAGCCGACCUGAGGGAGGGGUAGGCGACACGGGAACGGGACCACGGUCCAGAGUACUGCGGGAGGCAGCAGAAGGGAACCUGCCGCAGUGGGGGAGAACCUUACGGAGUGACGGCGAGUGAGUGAUGAAGGUCUUCGGAUCGUAAAACUCGGUUACGAGGGAAGAACAAAUGUGGAAGUAACUAUGCACGUCGUGACGGUACCUAAUCAGAAAGCCACGGCUAACUACGUG